GACGAACGCUGGCGGCGUGCUUAACACAUGCAAGUCGAACGGAAAGGCCCUGCUUUUGUGGGGUGCUCGAGUGGCGAACGGGUGAGUAACACGUGAGUAACCUGCCCUUGACUUUGGGAUAACUUCAGGAAACUGGGGCUAAUACCGGAUAGGAGCUCCUGCUGCAUGGUGGGGGUUGGAAAGUUUCGGCGGUUGGGGAUGGACUCGCGGCUUAUCAGCUUGUUGGUGGGGUAGUGGCUUACCAAGGCUUUGACGGGUAGCCGGCCUGGGAGGGUGGACGGCCACAUUGGGACUAAGAUACGGCGCAGACUGGUACGGGAGACAGCAGUGGGGAAUAUUGCACAAUGAGCGGGAGCGUGAUGCAGAAACGCCGCGUGCGGGAUGACGGCCUUCGGGUUGUGAACCGCUUUAGCCUGAGACGAAGCGUGAGUGACGGUAAUGGGUAAAGAAGCACCGGCUAACUACGUG
rnacentral:rRNA from 1 species